AAAACGCACACACAAUGCGCCUUGUAUUUUUAUUUGGUUUUCCAACUUUUGGGGUUGUGUGGUAUUGCUGUGCACUUAUACGUUUACAUGUGAAUGUCGGUAUGUAUGUCCGUGUGUACGGUGUUUUUAAGUAUCUAUGUUUGGUUAUAUGCGCUUGUGUGUGCAUGUAUCUGGAUCUGUUUGCCCCUCAGCGAUAGGAGAACGGGGAAAAGAGCAAAGCGGGAGCAAGAGAGAGAGGAGAGCGCGUUCUCGAGCUCAUUGCUCUCGUUGCAUUCGAUGGAUUCUGGCCCGUAGCCCGUAUCCGUAUCCGUAGCUGUAAGUUGUAUUAAUGAAAGUGAGUCCAGCACAGCAGCAAAAGAAAGCAGGCCGCGGCUCAGCUGCACAACGACAAGUUCUGUUCUGUUCUGUUCUGGUCGGCUUACAAGUGUUUUCAUUUUUCCAAGAUGCAGCACUAAAGGGGACCAAUAUGGAAUAUGGAAUAUGGAAUGCCUUUCCUAAAACUCGAUCACCGGCACUGGAAUGUAUUUGGAUGCGAUACUCACGCACACGUGUGCACCGAAUGUACCUGCAGAUACACAGAUACAUAUGCUCACCGAUACAAAUGCAGAUACAGUAUCUGUUGGAAAUGUGAGAACUCGUUUCCCUAAUCCAGCAUCCUUGUAAGAGCCCAUCCCUUUCCCUCCCGCACACGCAUGAUUAUGCAGGUUAGGACCCAUAGUCCUUCAAACCUUUUCAAGCUAAUACCAGAUACAGUAUCUCACACCUUCUCCCGCAACAAAGAUAAACCCUAUCGUCACUUGCGGCAUGGCCUAUCACUCAAUGGGCUUAGGAUACAAUAAAAAAUUCGUUUCUUAAUGGCUUUUAUUCAUUUUAUUAAUUAUUAUGAGCUUGGAGUGGGCUGAAAGGCUUAUGGCGAAAAGUCACAGGGGGCGGGGACUGUAAUCUAAGCUAAUUGAAAAGGCGGGCACAGCUUUGCAAAAAAAAAAAAAAAUAAAUAACAAAAAACACCAUACCCUUUCAUCUUCUUGCAUUUAUAAAUGGUUAUAGAUUGUAAGUAUUUGUAUAUCAUACGGAUAUGAUCCUUGGACCAGUAGAGCACCCCUCCCCAAAACAUAACAUUUCGGAUAAUACGUUCCAUGGCUUAUAUAUGUAUCUUUCAUAUUUUUCUGUGCAAUAUUUGUACACAAUGUUCUUAUAAAAAGGUCAGAUAAUACAGAAAACAAUUAUAAAUUAAACAAGAUACAAAAAUGUAUACCCAAAAGAUCAUAGAUUUUAGGGCUAAUAUCACAAAAA